rnacentral:rRNA from 1 species
UACGUAGGGACCGAGCGUUGUCCGGAAUCAUUGGGCGUAAAGCGCGUGUAGGCGGCCAGGUAAGUCCGUUCUGAAAGCCCGGGGCUCAACCCCGGGAGGCGGAUGGAUACUGCUUGGCUCGAGUCCGGAAGAGGCGAGUGGAAUUCCCGGUGUAGCGGUGAAAUGCGCAGAUAUCGGGAGGAACACCAAUGGCGAAGGCAGCUCGCUGGGACGGUACUGACGCUGAGACGCGAAAGCGUGGGGAGCAAACAGG